rnacentral:rRNA from 2 species
UCCAUGUGUAGCGGUGGAAUGCGUAGAUAUAUGGAAGACCACCAGUGGCGAAGGCGCCUGUCUAGUCUGUAACUGACGCUGAGGCUCGAAAGCAUGGGUAGCGACCAGGAUUAGAUACCCUGGUAGUCCAUCCCGUAAACGAUGAGUGUUAAGUGUUGGAGGGUUUCCGCCCUUCAGUGCUGCAGCUAACGCAUUAAGCACUCCGCCUGGGGAGUCCGCCCGCAAGGUUGAAACUCAAAGGAAUUGCCGGGGGCCCGCCCAAGCGGUGGAGCAUGUGGUUUAAUUGGAAGUUACGCGAAGACCCUUACCAGGUCUUGCCUUCUUCUGCCAAUCUUAGAGAUAAGACGUUCCCUUCGGGGCCAGAAUGCCAGGUGGUCCAUGGUUGUCGUCAGCUCGUGUCGUGAGAUGUUGGGUUAAGUCCCCCACCGAGCCCAACCCUUAUUAUCAGUUGCCACC